rnacentral:rRNA from 1 species
AGCGAACGCUGGCGGCAGGCUUAACACAUGCAAGUCGAGCGGGCACUUUCGGGUGUCCGCGGCGGACGGGUGAGUAACGCGUGGGAACGUGCCCUCUGGUUCGGAAUAACUCAGGGAAACUUGAGCUAAUACCGGAUACGCCCUUUUGGGGAAAGGCUUGCUGCCGGAGGAUCGGCCCGCUUCUGAUUAGCUAGUUGGUGAGGUAACGGCUCACCAAGGCGACGAUCAGUAGCUGGUCUGAGAGGAUGAUCAGCCACACUGGGACUGAGACACGGCCCAGACCCCUACGGGAGGCAGCAGUGGGGAAUAUUGGACAAUGGGCGCAAGCCUGAUCCAGCCAUGCCGCGUGAGUGAUGAAGGCCUUAGGGUUGUAAAGCUCUUUUAGCCGGGACGAUAAUGACGGGACCGGAGGAAGAAGCCCCGGCUAACUUCGU